rnacentral:rRNA from 1 species
AUUGAACGCUGGCGGCAGGCCUAACACAUGCAAGUCGAACGAGUGGCGGACGGGUGAGUAAUGUCUGGGAAACUGCCCGAUGGAGGGGUAUAACUGCUGGAAACGGUAGCUAAUACCGCAUACCAUCGGAUGUGCCCAGAUUGGAUUAGCUAGUAGGUGGGGUAACGGCUCACCUAGGCGACGAUCACUAGCUGGUCUGAGAGGAUGACCAGCAACAAUGGAACUGAGACACGGUCAAGACUCCGACGGGAGGCAGCAGUGGGGAAUAUUGCACAAUGGGCGCAAGCCUGAUGAAGCCAGGCCGCGUGGAUGAAGAAGUCCUUCGGGUUGUAAAGUACGUUCAGCGAGGAGGCGUUACUCGCAGAAGAAGCACCGGCUAACUCCGUGCCAGCAGCCUCGGUAAUUC